rnacentral:rRNA from 1 species
GUAGGGAAUAUUGCACAAUGGAGGAAACUCUGAUGCAGCGACGCCGCGUGAGUGAUGAAGGCCUUCGGGUCGUAAAGCUCUGUCGUAUGGGACUAACACAAUGAAGGUACCAUGCAAGAAAGGAUCGGCUAACUUCGUGCCAGCAGCCGCGGUAAGACGAGGGAUCCUAGCGUUGUUCGGAAUUAUUGGGCGUAAAGCGGGUGUAGGCGGAUUUAUAAGUCAGGUGUGAAAUCCCAGGGCUCAACCCUGGAAGUGCACUUGAUACUGUAAGUCUUGAGUGUGGUAGAGGCUAUUAGAAUUCUUGGUGUAGUGGUGAAAUACGUAGAUAUCAAGAGGAAUACCGGAGGCGAAGGCGGAUAGCUGGGCCAACACUGACGCUGAGACCCGAAAGCGUGGGGAUCAAACAGGAUUAGAAACCCCUGUAGUCC